rnacentral:lncRNA from 1 species
AUAAACAUGCUCUGUGAGUGGGAGAAUUCGAAUGCUGCAUGCCAGCUGACUUUCUGUCACCCACACUGACCCUCUCAAUACUGCAUGCUGAGCUCCACUAACUCCCAUACUAUGUAAUUGAUGGAGUGGAACAAACUUCACAGCAAGUUAAAUGCAGACUUUAUUCAAGCUCCAAGGGACUUGGAAAGACCUUCAGCCCAGUCAGCCCAGAUGAGCCCACCUCUGUGAGCCCCUUGAUUUGGAAUGGCGGCUUGUAUGUCUGUGUCAACAGGAAGCUCACUGCAUUGUGACUCAGGUAAGCCCUGGACCAAGCCACAAAGGUAGCAAGAUUGGUUUUCGGAGUUUCUCGUAGGCUGUUCUUCUUGCCUUCUGUCACACUCACUCCAUCAGGGCCUGUUUGCUGCCCAGAUGAGCCACACACAUCGGCUGGAUGAAAUGAAACUUGCCCUUCUUGUCCUACAUGUCUGUAUCUAAAAGUAUACAUUUUGGAAAGAGGCCUUAUUAAUCUAAAUACUUUUUAUUUUAAGGUUCCACAUUUUCCCAAAUGUAUGAGCCUCUAACCUAAGACAUGUCCAAAAGUUCUUUACUUACAGGGACAUGAUCUAGGGGCUUAGAGGGCCCUGGAAAAGUAAGAUAAUAUAUUUUAAAGACCCAAUUUUACACAAAAGAACAAAAAGAGGAAGAACUAUAGCAGAAUGCCACUGCUGUGGAUUCAGACUUCACCUCCCUGCCCACGGAGAUGAUUGAAGGGGAAAAAGGACAGAACAUGAAACUAACAAGCUUGAGGCCUUAUCAGUGUCUAUAUUGGCAAAUUGAGGAGCGAUGCACUCCCCAAGGCUGAAUGUUUUUCUACCAAUGCAUAAGAUCUACCAGCCACAGACAGGCACUGUUUUUAGAUGGUCUUGAGGCAUCUCAUUUUACAAAGGAUAUAGAAACAGACGGAUGCUAUAUAGAAACUGGUGGAGUGGGGUGGAAGAGAAGACAGAAGACAAGGGUUAUAAUUUAAUCAUAUAAACUCUGGAUGCAAUAACCAAGGUCUCCCCAGAAAGCUGUCAGUGUAUACUUGUGUGGUGAGUAGAUUUCUAAUCAGCUCUAGAAGGGUGGCCAAACACAGCUAAACUGUGUCUUUUAGUAGCAGGAAAAGCAUCUGCUAUAGUUUAGAUGUUUGUCCCCCAAACUCCAUAUUGAAAUUUGACCCCCAAUAUUGGAUGGGGGCCUAAGGGGAGGUGUUUGGAUCCUGAGGACAGAUCCCUCAUGAAUGUCUUGGUACUGUCCUCACAGUGAAGAGUGAGUUCUCACACUAUCAGCUCCCUUGAGAAACUGGUUGUCAAAACAAGCCUGGCACUCCCCAUCCCCUCACCACGUGGUCUCUGCACACACGAGCUUCCAUUCACUUUUCAUCAUGUAUGGAACCAACCCGAGGACCUCAUUGGAAAGAGAGUGGAUGCUGGCACCAUGCUUCUUGUUCAGCCUGCAGAACUGGGAGACAACAUAAACCUCUUUCCUUUAUAACUUACCCAGACUUGAGUAUUUCUUUGUAGCAAUACAAACAGACAAAGCAUCUGACAAGCAAGUUGUUCAAUGAAGAGAUUGUUAGAGCCUGGGGAAGAGUCAUCAUGUUCAAUUGGUACAAGAUGCAAUUAACUAAUAUGAUUUGGGACAGCUGUCUCCAUUGAGGUCACCAGGGUGUCAUGGAGUGAAGCUUCAGGAGGAAGAGCUGACUACUUCCUACCCUGGGCUCCAUUUUUGUCAGGGCUCUACAGAGAGACAGAACUGACAAGAUAUAAAGAGAGGAAUAAAACAAAAAUCCAGAUAUUUCUAUAAAUCCGAUUAUUUGCCAAAUUAAAUGUGAAAGCUUGCCUCUAUCUCUUUCCAUUGUGUGCAGAUAUUUUGCACAGUGUGGAUUUGGUCUCUAGGUGUGAGUGUGCCCUGGACACAAUGCAUAGUAGACAGACAUUGUGCUUCGUUGUAGACACUGUGCUAGGCACGUAUUACACAUUGCCCCAAAUCCUUAUCACAAACACAUCAGGAGUAUGAUGGCCAAGGAGGAAGCUGUGGCUCAGCCCAUUGAGGCUGUAUAUCCAGGGAUCAACAGCCAGUAAGUGGGUGUGCUGACUCCCAAGGCCAAAGCCCACCUACUUGCCAGGUAACUUUCUAGGGAUAUGAAGGCAUUCUAUGUUAUGAUGGUGUGUGUUACAUGAGUGUAUCUGUCUACCAAAAGUGUGCUUCCAUGAUUUAUGCAAUCAGAUAUGGGAUAUAAUGGUAACUCAUGUUUUUACCCAAGGAUUUUUUCAUCACCAUAAAACAUCACUUCUACUCAGCUUUAUUCUAAUGAUUUGAGGCAGAGUUUAAAAAUCUGUCAAAAUUAAAUAUAUUUUUAACAAAGUGAAGACAUCUAGACAAACAGACAAUGGGGUAGGAAAGAUGGAGCUAAAACCAGGGCUGAGUUUCAUUCACAGAUGGCUCGAGGUCCUACUCAAUUACUAGAAAUGGGCUAAAUAUUCACCUCUAAGCUUUCCAAUAAGCAACACAGUAGGAACAAUAUCAACGCAAUAGGCCUCAGAGUCCAUGAGAAAUAAACUAAACAGUUGCUUAGGGAAAGCAGAGCUAUUUCUGGUAAGAAAUUCAGAGAGAGUUUUCCUUUGAGUCUUCAUAAAGAAGACACUCUUCGAUGUAGGGCGCAGCAUUAACUACAUUCUUAUGCAAGUUGUAAAGGCUAAAUCUCAUAAAAUAUUUUAAUAUAGGCCAUAACACCAAGCAGCAAAAAUAGAGAACUAGAGGAUGGGGAGAUGGAAUUUGCUGUGUUUGGAAAUUAAUACGAUUAUUGGUUUUCUGUGUUCUCACUUAAUCCAGGGUUUUAAGGAAUCUAGAGAAAAAUCAGGAUUGAUGUUUUUCAUUAGUGCGUUUUCUUACAACUAAAGCUCUUGAACGCUCUGGGUGGUGGGGAGUUUGGGUUGCACUUGGCUUGUGAUGAGUUUCCCAGGGAGAUGCACUUCUCAGCUGGACCACCUGAGCACACCACCAGGAAAAGCUUUUGGGUAACCCCGGAGGCAGGAAAAUUUCCUAUGGGUGCUUUAUUCAGCUGUAGUCCUAUAAUCAGCCUUUCACAUAAUUUGAUAGAACUGACCAAUGUGAAAUGAAACUGUUAAUAAGAUCCCAAACUCUCCAGAGAAGAGGACUCUCUAUGGCUAGUAGAAACACCCAAAUUAAAAUAAUGGAAACCCAAUGGCCAUAGUUAGAGAAGGGUGGUCACGUGCCUUUUGUUUCUGAAGAGGGCAGUUCCAAACAAACAUGCUGUCUGUGCCUCUGAGCUAAGACAGUUCUUGUAAAGGGAGCUGAGGCACCAUGGCUGGAAAUCUCCUCCAACCAGCCUGAAAGGGCAUCCAAUAGACACUUAUGGUUUGGGGUUUAGAAAGUACCCAGUCAAGACUGUUAUUUUCAACCAAUCAGAAUUGAAUGUGUUCAAAUCAUUCAUUUACAUAUACAGACCUGAUUGAAGACUGUGACAGGAAUUUUCUUUAUUUAAGCCAGACCCUUUCUUUGUUCUCCAGAAUGUGCUUUUGUUUUCCACCAAAGCCUGUGUCUUCCCGAUACCUAGA